rnacentral:misc_RNA from 1 species
AAGUCGUAACAAGGUUUCCGUAGGUGAACCUGCGGAAGGAUCAUUACCGAGUAUGCCCUUCUGGGCGGACCUCCAACCCACUGUAUACUACUUUUUGUUGCUUUGGCGGGCCCGCGCAAGCUACUGGCUUCGGCUGGUAAGUGCCCGCCAGAGGAAACUAAACCCUAACAAUUUUUGUUUUGUCUGAAAAAAAGUAAAUAUUUAAAACUUUCAACAACGGAUCUCUUGACUCUG